rnacentral:rRNA from 1 species
AGAGCGAACGCUGGCGGCAGGCUUAACACAUGCAAGUCGAGCGGGCGUAGCAAUACGUCAGCGGCAGACGGGUGAGUAACGCGUGGGAACAUACCUUUUGGUUCGGAACAACACAGGGAAACUUGUGCUAAUACCGGAUAAGCCCUUACGGGGAAAGAUUUAUCGCCGAAAGAUUGGCCCGCGUCUGAUUAGCUAGUUGGUGAGGUAAUGGCUCACCAAGGCGACGAUCAGUAGCUGGUCUGAGAGGAUGAUCAGCCACAUUGGGACUGAGACACGGCCCAAAACUCCUACGGGAGGCAGCAGUGGGGAAUAUUGGACAAAUGGGCGGCAAGCCUGAUCCAGCCAUGCCGCGUGAGUGAUGAAGGCCCUAGGGUUGUAAAGCUCUUUUGUGCGGGAAGAUAAUGACGGUACCGCAAGAAUAAGACCCGGCUAACUUCGCGCCAAGCAGCCGC